GAGGUGAAGGAACUAGUUGAAUUUCUAGGAGUUCUAAUUCUUCAAGAUCUUACAAUCUUAAAGUGGUUAAUAUGAAAACAUUUACACUUCCGCUUCUGGCAAGCCUAAAUAAUUUGCCUGUGAUUUUUAAUAAAAACCGGAUCCUUCCCUCAUCUCUCAUCCAAAGCUUCAUCCUCUUAUUAAUUCUAAGGACACUUUUUUGAAAUGGAAAACAGCACAGAGGUGGAGCAGAAAUACAGGCUGUGGGCUAAUUCUCUUAACAGUCCUCACCCACUAAAAUGAUCUGUGGACCAAGGAAGUUUUGGUGUCAUGACACCAUGUUCCUGUGACUAUAAAUAUGUUGUCUUUUUAGUGUUCUGGGCUUGCUAUAGAGGGAUGUAAAUGCAUUUUCAAGGUUUAAUGUUCUAAGUUAUUUCCAAUCUUUUACCAUGAAUCCAGUUUAUUUAGUUGGGGAAUAUUUCUUGAGUGACAUCUAUUCAAUGAGCAGUAGCAGAUCUUCAGAAUGCCAUCGGAGCUCAUGGAAAGAAAUGAUGGGUUCCUUUGCCUGGUAAGCUUUUAUGACUUAAUCUGGAUUCUUGUUAUUUUGACCCAUUUCUGCACAUCUUACUUCAUGCAGCUGGGUUUUGUGACCGCACAGUUUUGGGGGGGGGGGGUCAUGGAAAUUGUGCAGGUGGAAUUAGUAAUCAAUGGUUGUUAAGAAUUUGUGGGGUUAUGUGAAAUUUGGUGUGAAGUUAAGACAGCUGCAAAGUGGAGUGGUUUUCUCGUAGGCUUAGGUGUGAGAAUGUUGGGGGUAAUUGGUUAAAGUAAGAUUGUUUCAUAAAAUGCAGUAAGUGUAAUUCUGAUGUUUUCGGUUGAGCAGAAACUAGAUCACCAGAUUUGGUAUGGUUUUAAAGAUGUUCUUUUCUGUUGUGAAAAACAGACCUUGAGCAAUGAAAGCAAAGAGUUGACCCCAGUGCUCUCAGCUGUAAGGAGGAUUUCACCUAAAUGUAGCGUAAUUGUUCCUGUUAAGGAGAAAAAAAGGAAUUGGUAUCUAGAGUGAGGUUGAUCGCAAGAAAAUACGUAUGCAGUUCUGUGAGUCAGAUGACUUUUUUUGUCUAGUAUUAUCCAGAAUUAUGUAAGGGACACCAUUGUUGGAAACAACGUUAUUAGGAAUUUCCCUUGAGCAUAGUCUAAUCACUUAGCAAAAUAAAUGGGUUCUCUUUCCUGCUGAUAUGAAAUGACAUUUAACCCACCCCGAGAGAUUCUAGAGAAAGAGGACUUUUGUUAAAUGUUACUGAUCCCAGGGUCCUAGAAAAUCUUCAAGGACUUUAUAUUUUAAAAUGUAGUUAAUUCUAGAAUCUUAGAGGGACCUUACGCCAACUGAGAACCAUUGGUUAAAUAGCCAAUUACCUUUAUCUUAGCCCUUGAUAUCACAUAACCCCAUAAAUCCUUAACAACAAAUACGUUCUGUUGUUUACAAAGGCAAAAAAAAAAAAAA
rnacentral:lncRNA from 1 species